rnacentral:rRNA from 1 species
AUUGAACGCUGGCGGCAGGCCUAACACAUGCAAGUCGAACGGUAACAGGAAGAAGCUUGCUUCUUUGCUGACGAGUGGCGGACGGGUGAGUAAUGUCUGGGAAACUGCCUGAUGGAGGGGGAUAACUACUGGAAACGGUAGCUAAUACCGCAUAACGUCGCAAGACCAAAAAGGGGGACCUUCGGGCCUCUUGCCAUCGGAUGUGCCCAGAUGGGAUUAGCUAGUAGGUGGGGUAACGGCUCACCUAGGCGACGAUCCCUAGCUGGUCUGAGAGGAUGACCAGCCACACUGGAACUGAGACACGGUCCAGACUCCUACGGGAGGCAGCAGUGGGGAAUAUUGCACAAUGGGCGCAAGCCUGAUGCAGCCAUGCCGCGUGUAUGAAGAAGGCCUUCGGGUUGUAAAGUACUUUCAGCGGGGAGGAAGGGAGUAAAGUUAAUACCUUUGCUCAUUGACGUACCCGCAGAAGAAGCACCGCA